rnacentral:tRNA from 1 species
GCGCCUAUAGCUCAAAAGGAUAGAGCAACGGAUUUCUAAUCCGUAGGUUGGGGGUUCGAUUCCCUCUAGGCGCG